CUUGGGAAGAGGAAGAAAGAGAGGCUCCAAGAGCAGUGGGAUUGGGAACAUAUGAGAAAGCAUGAGCUCUCUCUGUCCAUCCCCUCCCAUUUGUUGGAGGUGGAGAUUUCGCUCUUAUGUUUUCUCGAUGCCUCCCAUUCCUAUCGUUCUUGGAACCUCCUUCCUCUUCCUUUUUUUA
rfam:Oryza meridionalis cultivar OR44 (W2112) chromosome 4, whole genome shotgun sequence.